UACGGAGGGUGCAAGCGUUAUCCGGAUUCACUGGGUUUAAAGGGUGCGUAGGCGGGCAGGUAAGUCAGUGGUGAAAUCUCCGGGCUUAACCCGGAACUGCCGUUGAUACUAUCUGUCUUGAAUGCCGUGGAGGUAAGCGGAAUAUGUCAUGUAGCGGUGAAAUGCUUAGAUAUGACAUAGAACACCAAUUGCGAAGGCAGCUUACUAAGGUGCAAUUGACGCUGAGGCACGAAAGCGUGGGGAUCAAACAGG
rnacentral:rRNA from 1 species